rnacentral:rRNA from 1 species
AUUGAACGCUGGCGGCAGGCCUAACACAUGCAAGUCGAGCGAGCGGCGGACGGGUGAGUAAUGUAUGGGGACUGCCCGAUAGAGGGGGAUAAAAACUGGAAAAGGUAGCUAAUACCGCAUACUAUCGGAUAUACAAUAUGGGAUUAGCUAGUAGGUGAGGUAAUGGCUCACCUAGGCGACGAUCCCUAGCUGGUAUGAGAGGAUGAUCAGCCACACUGGGACUGAGACACGGCCCAGACUCCUACGGAGGCAGCAGUGGGGAAUAUUGCACAAUGGGCGCAAGCCUGAUGCAGCCAUGCCGCGUGUAUGAAGAAGGCCCUAGGGUUGUAAAGUACUUUCAGUCGGGAGGCGUUACCGACAGAAGAAGCACCGGCUAACUCCGUGCCAGCAGCCGCGGUAAUUC